UUCUUGCCUUUCCUAAGCAAACCAUAGUAUAUAUAUUUUUUUGCAGCGGUGAGCCCUGGCUGGUGGCCGAAAACCGACGGCAUUUUGGUCAUGCGGGAACUGUCGAGUCGCGGUAUGACGGCUUACUUUAUGCGACCUGAAGAAGUCUAUACAUGAUCAGAUCCCGUGCAAUGAUGGCUCCCUACUUUUAAGCAUAAAAAAAAUCGGCGUAUGGUCCAGUCCUUGCAAUUGUGGUGACAUCUGAAAGGGCAC